GGAGAGAUGGCCGAGUGGUUUAAGGCGCACGCUUGGAAAGCGUGUGUAGUAGCAAUGCUACCACGAGUUCGAAUCUCGUUCUCUCCGCCA
rnacentral:tRNA from 1 species